rnacentral:tRNA from 1 species
UCCCUGGUAGCUCAGAUGGUAAAGUGUCUGCCUGCAAUGCGGGAGACCCAGGUUCGAUUCCUGGGUGGGGAA